rnacentral:rRNA from 1 species
AGUGAACGCUGGCGGUAGGCCUAACACAUGCAAGUCGAACGGCAGCACAGUAAGAGCUUGCUCUUACGGGUGGCGAGUGGCGGACGGGUGAGGAAUACAUCGGAAUCUACUUUUUCGUGGGGGAUAACGUAGGGAAACUUACGCUAAUACCGCAUACGACCUACGGGUGAAAGCAGGGGAUCUUCGGACCUUGCGCGAUUGAAUGAGCCGAUGUCGGAUUAGCUAGUUGGCGGGGUAAAGGCCCACCAAGGCGACGAUCCGUAGCUGGUCUGAGAGGAUGAUCAGCCACCCUGGAACUGAGACACGGUCCAUGCUCCUACGGGAGGCAGCAGUGGGGAAUAUUGGACAAUGGGCGCAAGCCUGAUCCAGCCAUACCGCGUGGGUGAAGAAGGCCUUCGGGUUGUAAAGCCCUUUUGUUGGGAAAGAAAAGCAGCAGGUUAAUACCCCGCUGUUCUGACGGUACCCAAAGAAUAAGCACCGGCUAACUUCGUG